CACCUAGUCUGAAUUAUUAUUAUUAUUAUUAUUAUUAUUAUUAUUAUUAUUAUUUUAGUAUAACACAGUACAUUUAGCUGCUUUUUCUUUACUGUCUACCUCACUGUUUUUUUUUCCCACCACCCUGACUAGUCUACACAAACCCAAUUAGAUUAACCGAGUGAGCUCCCAGACAGGUGGAUUGGUGUUAUUGUAACAUGUCUGACAGUACCUGAGCAGGGAAUGAAAUCACAGACCUGUGCUUUUGAGUAAUGUGUCAUUUGUGUUUGCUCAGAGGAAACCACCACUGUCAUUUUCUGAGUCAAUUCUACCAGCUUUAUGUGUCAGGAAGUGUCCCUAGUUCCUUGCAGUCUUUGCUGCACAGCUGGACCUUUCUCCACUUGCUCAAUAAAACCUUAAGAUGGUGCAAUCCAAAGCCUGAGAUAGCAUCCCUUCUACUUCAGUAAAAUGGCGUUCGUCAGGAAGAUUACAGUUCUUCAGUCAUUGCAAAGCUCUAGUGUCUGUCAUUUUUAUGCACUUCCUCAUGUCUGGGAAAUAAGUAAAAAUGUAUUUAUUUAUUUUUUGAACGCUCAGUCAGACCACUUAGUAUGGAAUGAAAUGGGCCCUCUCAUGUCAUGUUAAGAUGAAGCUUCUCUUCCCAGCUGGUGGUGAUCUUUGUCAGCUUUCCCCCAGGUGUCCAGCAGACCUCACAAUGUGCUCCCAGUCAAAUAACGCACAGGGCGGCGAGACCAGACUGCAUCAGCAGGCUUCAUUUAAACAAUACGGGGGUGUUGAUGAUUAUGAUGAUAGUAAUCAUUGCGAAGACAGUUGAGGCCCAUCCAGUACUGAACAUCACAGCUUGGGGUCUUCAUAAAAUAAAGCCAGCCUGUAACAAUACAGAGUUCAAAAGAAGGACAGCAGUGACUUUUUCAGGCCAGCUCUGGGCUGCAUCAUUUUAGUCUUGCUAGGUCAAGCCCAUUCUAACUGUAACCCCUUUUUGUCCUAUGAGAGCUUAUAUGCUACCCUCUACUGACCAUCACAUGGUUGCACUUGCUAGCCUGUUGGAGUCUUGAUGACCGAAGGUAAAGCUAGACUCUGUGACUGGCUGUGUGUAUUUGCACACCCAGAAGGAACAGACUAAGCCUCUUCAGCUUGCCUGAGUAUCCUUACAUCUCAGUCUCAAUCUGGAUUUUGCAGUUUUUGGGCUUUAUCAUGAUUAUUUUCUUCUUUUCGUCUUCAGAGAUGUCUGUUUUCUUAUCAGGUCAUUGCCUCCAGAGAAACACUUUUAUCACUCCAUCAAAGCGUAUGCCAUAAUCUAACGCUCUGGAGAUUUGCAUACUCUCACAUGAAUACGGGAUCCUGUUUUCUCACUCAUCCUCCUUUCCAUUUAGACGGGCCAAACAGAGCACACACAGGCAUUACAUUAAUGUUUCCCCAUGUGCUGAUGGCCGCACACUGGUGUAACACUAUGCCGUCUCUCUGCAGGUUCACAUCGGAGUGAUUACUUACUCAAUUUUUGUUCCCAUUUCAACAGUUGUCUAAGCAGUAAGGCAUUUUUAUUCAAAUCAUAGGCUUACGUUAUGUUGUAAUCUUCCAAAGCACAAUGCACGUCAGCGGCUGAGGAUGAGAAAUGUGACACCAUAGUUUCAUGCCAUUUAUUUUUUUGUUAUUACACCAUUCUUGUUUUUUUUUCUUCCCCAUUUUCUCCCCACUUUGGUCUUGUUAAUCCCCAGCCACUUGCUAACGGACAACAACUACCACCCAGUGUGGGUGGGGCAAACACAUGCUUCUUCCAAGACGCGUGAAGACAAGUGCCACAUCUUUUCAAACUGCUGCUCAAGGCUACUCAGAGAAAAGGUCUAUUCUGCAUACAUGAGCUCCCAGACACCCUUGACUGUCUGUUGUCGCUCUGAUUGACAGAAAGGGAGUAUGCAAUUCCACUUCGGUAAAUCACAGAAACCUGUAGACAGUCAAUGUUGUGCUUCUCAUCAGCUCAUCUUUGAGCAUUUUAGUAUCUUUGGUAUGUUUCAAACCUGACUUCAAGGCAUCUUCAAAUCGGUAAUGACCAUGCAGUGUACCCAUGCAUUCCUCUAGCCAUGUCCCAAAAUGCUAGAAAAAUCUCUUUUAAAAGGAUCUCUCGAAUAUUUUAUUCUAUUAACGUUACCUCACAUUUAUUCCUGUUAUAUACUGUACACACUUUGUUGUAUAUAUUAAGUACACUGUACAUUAAAUUGUUGAAUACGCUCUUCAAUAUAUAUUCGAGCUUGAAAUACUUCAGCUUGAAAGCAAACAUGGACCCUCACUUGCCCUUGUGCAUACACUUUAACUUUUGUUUACGUAUUGAAUAUACAAUGUACAAUCACUGAGCACAUUAUUAGGAACUCUGUGCUAAUACUGGGUAGGGCCUCCCUUUGCUCUCAGAACAGCCUCAAUACUUUGUGGCAAGGAAUCCAUGUUGGAAACAUUCCUUUGAGAUUCUGGUCCAUGUUGACAUGAUUGCAUCACGCAGUUCGUGCAGAUUUUUCAGGUGCACCUUCAUGCUGUGAAUCUCCUGUUCUACAACAUCCCAAAGGUGUUCUAUUGGAUUCAGAUCUGGUGUCUGGGAAGACUUCUGAAGAACAUUUGAUCUCAUUGUCAUGUUCCUGAAACCAGUUUGAGGCCCAACGUGUGCCAAGAAAACAUUCCCCACACCAUAACACUAUCUACACCAGCCUGGACUGUUUACACAAAGCAGGUUGGGUCCAUGGAUUCAUACCAAUUUCUGACUCUACCAUCUGUGUGCCUUUAACGGUCCAGUUUUGGUGAGCCUGUGCCCACUACAGGCUCAGCUUUCUAUUCUUGGCUGACAGAAGUGGAACCCGACGUGGUCUAGCCAAUCCGCCUCAAGGUUCAACGUAAUGUCCAUUCCGAGAUGCUUUUCUGCUCACCACAAUUGUACAGAGAGGUUAUCUGAGUUACUGUAUCCUUUCUGCCAGUUCAAACCCGUCUGGCCAUUUUUCCAUUGACCUCUAUCAUCAACAAGGUGUUUCUGUCUCGUCUUUCUUUAUUGCACCAUUCUGAGUAAACUCUAGAGACUGUACUGUGUGAAAAUCGCAGGAUAUUAUAGAAAUAUUCAAACCAGUUCUUCUGGGCCCCAACAGUCAUGCCACAGUCAAAAUCACUGAUCACAUUUUUCCCCCUUUUUGAAGGUUGACAUGAACAUUACCUGAAGCUUCUGGCCCGAGUUUGCAUGAUUUUAUGCAUUGCACUGCUGCCACAUGAUUGGCUGGUUAGGUAAUUGCAUUACUACAUAUUACUACCGAAUAAGGCCGUGUUUACACUAGUGCGAGAACGAUCCUCGUCCACACUGGCGUUUCCACUGUGAUUCAGAAACGAUCUCCGUCCACAUUACAUGACCGAAAACGCAUGUUACAUGACCAUUCAUACACACUGGGCAUGUGCAUACAAGUCUAAACAGGAAGUUGGUUGCUAGUCCAAACCACUGUUCCUUGUAGUGUUUAUGCCGCUUGAAAUGAGAUUUGUUGCAGAUUGCUCUAAUCAUAGCUUGCCUCUUGCGCAUGUAGGCAGCUGUAGUAUUAUAAAAUACAGAAUUUAACUGCAUAAUUGCUGCUAAGAAUGACAGCAAAGCUUGCGGUUCAGUCUCCGUGUUGUUGUGUAUACGAUUAAGAGAGCGUAAUGGUCAUAUGGUAGGGGCUUGAUGAAUCAGGGAAGGAUAUGCAAUGAUCCAGAAGACCCAAUCAGGGGGCGAGUGUGGGCGAAGCCAUGCCACGCCUUUUGAUAAUUUUUCAUUUUGGUCUGUUUACUUAGACUGAAAUGCGAGCCCGAGUUUUCAAACUAAAAUGGGGUCUUCUGCAUUUCCAAAAGUCUCCGUAUUUGAGGGUUGAAAAAUGCCGGAGUAGUGUAGAGGACAGACGUAACCAUAGCAGAAGUUAUGAAUGAAAAUGCACUAGUGUAAACAGGAUCUAAAGUGUAGUCUGCAUUUAGACUAAUGGCCUGGCUUAAGCUACUGUUCUCUCUCUUCACCCAUUACUUAAGUGUUACUGAAGGCAGUUAGUGUUUCAGGACAUCUACAGAGACUAACAAUUAUUGCAUGAAUGUUAUCUAAAGCGGGAUGUCAGCUACCAGAUGCUUUCCCAGUUGAAGUUUCAUUAGUUGGCCCAUUAGCUAGUCACAAUCCUCAAGGUUGCAUUGGGUUUGGCUGUUUGAACUUCUGUGCAUAUGUUAGUUUUAGCACAUCCUGACACAGUGACAUUUUCAAACAAGAUAUUACUGGGAUGAAAAAAAAUCACAGAACCCCGUGUUGGAUCCUUCUUUUGUUUACAGAAAAAAGUAAAUAAACCAAGUGUGUAUAGAAAUCACCCUAGCAUAGAGAAAAUAGAGCCCAGUAAAUUACUAGAUAAUUAUGCAAAUAAUGGUUUUUGUUUCAUAUUCACUAUUUACUCCAAAUCCACAGAAUACAUGGCAUUUCUGCAGCGUAUAAACAUUGGCCUUUGGCUCAGUUAGUGCCUCUUAACACAUUUUAACAGAAAAUGUCCCCUGCCAUCCAAAGAAACCUGCCUGUUUGGUUCAGUUCCUGUAGUAACAUCCAUCCCGUACCGAAUUGCUUUUUCUCUGCAGUCAAACCACGCUAGAGUUUGGAGCCAGGCUGAGAUCACCUCGCACAGAUAGUCUUAGAAUGGUUAUUUUGGUCUGCACAUGCGUGUGAUUGCAGUGUUCUCAUGAACCACAACAAAGAGGAAAAUGCACCAGGGUUCGAUUCAAAUGGACUGAACACUGCAUAUGUGAAAGCAUCCUUUGUGACAAAAUGUACCACACUCUCCAGCAACAACUACAAGUCAUAACAUUUUAUAUCGUCAUAAUUGAAGUAACAGGAGUGCUUUAUCUUGAGUCCACGGUGUCUUUAAACAUUGGGUGCUCUUUUGUUGCACACCAGAGCUGUAGGACAUCAGCAAAUGCUAUGAAAGCACGGUGUCGUGUGCACUCAGUAACACUUGCAAAUCUCAUGAUCCAGCACCUGUUCCUGUGGGAACAUUUCAGCUUUUCCAAGCAGCUGCACAAUCCACAUAAAAGUGACAAGAAAGUCCAAACAUUUGUUUUUGCUCCUGGUGCCAUCACCUCUUCCCACUGAUUGUUUACUUGUUUGAACCAUGAGGCAAGAUAAAGGUUUUAGAAUGAAAGCUGAGUUGCUGAAAUAAAGACCUAAGCUUCUGACUCGGGGAAUUUUCUAUCUUCUUUUAAGCAAACAAUGUUGCGAGGUUUUUUGUGUGCUUUGGUGUUCUGUGGUUUAUAGAUGUAAAAGCAAGAAACAUUCCUUUCUACUACAAUAUUGUCGCAUCCUAGCAAUAAGGGACAGUCAGCUCACCAUGCUGCAAGGCAUGAAAUGACCUUGCCAUUAGAUUGUGGAGACCCCAAUUGUAUUUUCAGAAGACAAGUUCCUGGCCUUGAAUGAGAGGCAGUAGGUGAUGAUAAGUUUGUGCUCGGCUCCUUUCUCCAGAGAGAAGGCCACUAAAGUGCUGGUGAUAAUGUGGCACUGACUGACUGGCUGACAGUGACCUCAGCAUGGCUGGGGAUAACAUCUCUUAAUUAGCUCUGCCUUCGUGCACAAUGGAGGAGGCUUGAGGAUGAACUGCCAUUCAUCCCGCCUUAAUUAGGAGAACGGUCGACGAUUAACAAUGAGACGUUUAGCCUCAGGGCCGGUUCUUUGAGAGCUAAUAGCCUUUAGCUGCCAGGAUUAAGUGGAGUCGGGAAUCUGUGGAUUCUUAUUUAAACUUAAAGGCAAAGAUAAGGGUUUUUUCCCUACAUGUCUGAAGUGAUGUUUCCAUGAAAGGAGAGGCGUGAUGAGAAGCAGUGAUUAAUUAAUAGCGUCUCAUUUAAUCAAAAAUGUUAAAAUAUUUCAUUGUUUUGGAGAGUACUCCUACUAUAAUGUUUUAUAUGGGGAAAGACUUCAAGUUGUCAUGCCAUUAAAUGCGAAACGUUAGUGAUUGAUUUAAGACAUGUCCUCUAAGUUCUACAAAAUAUACUCAAGUAUAUACUGUAUAGUAAAGGGACGACUGGUAUAAAAGCAUAAAUGUGAUUUUUAGUUUAUGGCAACCUAUCAGAUUAUUGAACAAAUUGUUCAGUGUUUUCAGGCACUUUGCUUUGGACUUGCGUGGAAGCACAACAGCACCCCCAGUGGUCAUAGAACAGUGAGCAGUAUGAAGAAGUGAAACGGAGGCUGAUUUCUUGCUAGCCCAGACUGUCGAUUCAUGCAGCCUGUCAGUGACGAUGUUGAAACGUUCUCUAGACUGCCCGGUCAAAGAACAAAUUACACAAAAGGACAUGACAAAAACCACCUUUUUUUUUAUUUUUAUCAAAAUCUAGUGAAACUAGAAACCAUGAAUUCAGCUAAUUAUCUGCCUUUAAGUGUGCGUGUAGAUAAUCAUUUCCCCCUACAUCAUUCUGUAUUAUUGAUAAGACCUUGUAAUAUAAUGCAUUGCUGAACCCUAAUAGCUUCAUUCAGUACGUUUACAUGGACAACAAUAAUCCGAUAUUAACCCGAUUAAGACAAUACUCUGAUUAAGAGACUAGCAUGUAAAAAGCGAUUAUUGAUGACCUUAAUCCGAUUAAAAUCACACUCGACGUAAACAUACCUUAAUCACACUAUUAACAUCAUGUGGGAGUUUUCACCGCAUUUUGUGACAGGACACGUACACACACGGCAGUGCUCAACCGAUGGCAAACGACAGCAUGACUGUGUCCGAAACCAUGUAUUUACCUGCUAUAUAGUAGGUGAAAUGCAUGUAUCUCAGCUACCUUAUAGUAGGUAAGUACGCGGUUUGGGACGCAGCCCAUGGCCUCAAGUAGUCGUCUAUUUGCACGUAUUGUAUGUAUGGAGAAUUUUUAGAAGUUUUAAACAGCGUUUAAUAUGAAAAGCUGCCUCACUGCUGCGACUUGAUCUCAGUCACUGGCACAGUUUUGUUCCUGUCCCAGACUUUUGGUAUGACUAACCAAAGGAACUUUUUUUAAUGCUCUUAAAGUUACUGUGUUGAAAGUCUCAGCCAUGUCCAUAGGACUUUUUCCCUUACCUUCACGAACCUGUUGAUUUUCUUUGUUCACAUUUGUCAACCACAAAGGUGUUUGCGCCAAACUGGUCUGGCUAACACAGAUUUGAGAUGCACUGAUUUAAAGUACAUUAUAUUCAUUCAAAAGAUGAAUAAAAUAGAGUAAAAUAUUUUAAUACCAAAUACACUUUCAUCCUUUGAUAGAGCGUGUGUGAAGGCCUGCUGUUGACCUUCUUUGGUCAACCAAUCAGCCUGUUCUCUUCACCUUUGGCCAUUUUAAUUUGCAUUUUUAUCAGGAUUGUUUGACAUUAAUGUCUCUAUUUGGCACCUGAGAAGAUGGAGGUUAGCCCUUGGUCACAAUGACAGUAUGAACCCAUGCCACCUGUAAUUAACAGAAGCCCUUGUGGUAGUUAUAUACACUCACUGCCCACUUUAUUAUGUACACCUUCACAUUUAUGCAGUUAUCCAAUUGUCCAAUCACAGUGCAGUAGCACGAUGCAUACACUCAUGCAGAUUCAAGUCAAGAGCCUCAGUUAAUGUUCACAUCAAAUAUCAGAAUGGGAGAAACCGUGGACUUUAACUGUGGCAUGAUUGUUUUGUGCCAGAUGGGCUGAUUUGAGUAUUUCAGAAACUGCUGAUCUCCUGGGACUUUCACGCACAACUGAAUCUAGAGUUUACACAAAAUGGGGCGAAAAACAAAAAACAUCCCAUGUGCAGAGGGUCUGCAGGCUUGUUGUUGAGAGAGGUCUGAGGAAAAUGACCAGACUUAUCUGAGAUGACAGGAAGGAUAUAGUAGCUCAAAUAAUCACUUUUCAUAACCGUGGUGAGCAGAAAAGCAUCUCAGAAAGCACAAUACAUCAAACCUUGAGGUGGAUGAGCUACAACAGCAGAAGAGCACAUCAGGUUCCACUCCUGUCAGCCAAGAACAAAAAUCUGAGGCUGUUAUGUGCACAGACUCACCAGAACUGAACAGAGGACUGGAAAAAGACCAGGUGAUUUAAUUAAAAAAUAAAUAAAUAAAUAAAUAAAUAAAAAAAACCUUCCAUUUUGGAUUUCCUGUUUUUUUACCUAUCAAGUUUCACUAGCUGCAUUUACAUGGACAACAAUAAUCCACUCUUAAUCCGAUUAAGACCAUACUUUGAUUGAGAAACUACCAUGUAAACAGCAAUUUUUACUUACCUUAAUCUAAUUAAGGUCAUAAUCGAAUUAAGCUCUAAUCGAAUUAAGACAGGUGGAGUACUCCUGUUUUAGUCGCAUUAUGGACGAGUAUUACAGACAUGUAAACACCUUAAUCACAUUAUGAACGUCGCGUGAGAGUUUUCACCGCAUUUUGCGACAGGACACGAUCACACAAGGAAAUUUUACGUUUUACGGCGAUCAAGAGAGUUCGGCUACGUCCUAAAUCGCAUACGUGCCUACUAUAGGCCUGUAGUGGGGAAAAAUACAUGUAUCUCGGCUACUAUAUAGACGGUAAGUACGCGGUUUGAGACGCAGCCAACGGCUAGAGCAGUUGUCUAUUAGCACAUAUAGCAUGAAAAAUAAUUAACUGCACUUAAAGCGUUCGUAAAAAAAAUGAAAAUAAAAACACCCAAAACUGUAUACGGUACCAUAACGAAGAUGGACUGUAUGUUGAUGCGUGAAAUUCUGGAGGGACGUCGGACAGCGUGGCGCGGUGAUGUAAUGAUGCGGGUUGUUAAUCUAAUUAUGUUCUAAAACAUGUAAAACGGGAACAUGACAGGAGUAUUCUAAAAGCGACUCAUGUAAACACCUUAAUCACAAUAUUAUCUUAAUCAGAGUAAGGUCAAUAAUUAGAUUACUGCUGUCCAUGUAAACAUAGUCAGUGAGUCCAUGUCCAUGAUAGCCUGAGAUUCGUGUUCUUGGCUGACAGGAGUGGAACCUGAUUUGCUCUUCUUCUGCUGUUGUAACUCAUCCACCUCUAGGUUAUUUUUUUUGUGUGUGCUGAGAUGCUUUUCUGCUCACCACACUUGUAAAGAGUGAUUAUUUGAGUUACUAUAUCCUUCCUUGAACCAGUCUGGCCAUUUUCCUCUGAUCUCUCAUCAACAAGGCGUUUCCACCCACAGAACUGUCACUCACUCAAUGUUUUUUGUUUUCCUCACAAUUCUGUGUAAACUCUAGAGACUGUUGUGUGUGUGUGUGUGUGUGUGUGUGUGUGUGUGUGUGUGUGUGUGUGUGUGAAAUUUCCAGGAGAUCAGCAGUUUCUGAAAUACUCAAAUCAGCCCAUCUGGCACAAAACAACCAUUCCACAAUCAAGGUCACAGAGAACGCACUUUUUCUUCAAUCUGAUGUUUGAUGUGAACAUUACAUGAAGCUCUUGACCUGUAUCUGCAUGAUUUUAUGCAUUGUGCUUCUGCUACAUGAUUGGCUGAUUAGAGAAUUGCAAGAUUGCGCAGCUGUUCAGGUGUUCCUAAUAAGUGGACGGUGAAUGUGAUAGACAGGUGUCCUGUAACGGUGUGUUUUUUGCCUUGGGGCCAGUGUUCCUGGGAUAGGCUCCCUUGCUGUUCUCUCUCUCUCUGUCUUUUGCUCUCUCUCACUCUCGUGAAGCAUGUUUGUCACUAGCAAGCCAUACUGUAAAAAUCAAUAAAGGUAUGUGAAUAUUUCA